rnacentral:lncRNA from 10 species
ACUCAAGAACCCAGCCCCCAUAGUGUGAGGAGGCCUAGGACAGUUACAGAAGCCAUGUGUAGGUGUUCUGGCUCCAGCAAAAGUCUUAUCUGACAACAUCAACUACAUGUUAGUGGGGUUUGUCUUGGUCCAUUUUAUGCUGCUAUAACAGAACACCACAGACUGAGAAAUUUAUAAGGAAUAGAAGUUUAUUUGCCUCAUGUUUCUGGAGGCUGGGAAUUCCAAGAUCAAGGGGCUGCAUAGAUUGAGGUCCUUUUUGCUGACUCAUAACGUGGAAAGAGAGUGCACUGCAUAGAAGAAAGGAGGCCAAACUCAUUCUUUUAUCAUGAGCCUACUCCUGAAAUAACUCACUCUCAAGAUAAUGGCAUUAAUCCAUUCAUGAAGGCAGAAUACUCAUGAUGUAAUCACCUCUUAAAAGACUAACCAGAAUUGGCUACAGUUUCUUCAAGAAAAUACCCCAAUGGAAGAAAAAAAGGUGGAGGGAGAAACUGAAUGAAGAAAGGAUGAUUUGAAAUUACCAGAAAGUGGAACGUGGAAAAAACAGAGUAAAACUAGUUUGAGAAUAAAAUCUUAGGUUGUAAC